rnacentral:misc_RNA from 1 species
UGUUUCAUCCAUUUCGAAGAUGUCAAUGUUGUUGAAAAAUAUCAGUGUUGGUGAGAAGAGUUGGCGACAUGAGGAUGUGAUGCAGAAGAGCGGCUAUUUGGCUGGUACAUCAUCUGGAAAUAGGAGUGCAAAUGAGCAGCUUGCUGCGAGCACCACUUUUGUGAAGCUGGCUGAUUUGACUGAAAGGGAGUGGAUGCAGUUCCUUGAGCAUUUACAGAAGUUACUAUGCCCAGCUUUUGCUAAUCGUAAAUCGGGGAAUGUUGGUCAGAGGCAUAGACAGAGGCUUGGAACAUCUUGCCAGUUUUGAGGGUUAGUUAAUGGAUGCUAUAAAUGUGGGAAAUGAUAACUAGAAAAAAUUGCAAUCAGAAAUACGUAAGUGAUUUUGGUGUGUAAGGAGGAUGGAUUUCAUUUAUGAUUUGGAAUAAUGUUAUGUUGCCGAAAUUUGGGAUGGUACAAUGUGGUCAUCAGCUGCUUGAGGUGAGGCCUAAGUUUUUAUUCUUCUAUAUGUAGUCUCUCUGUUUUGUUUUCUUUUUUGGUUGCACUGCUCCAUGUUCAGCACAAUGAGUGUCGAAUAUAACAAAAAUAGAGUGUGUAGGG